rnacentral:lncRNA from 1 species
AGAGGCAGGGUGCCUGGAGAAGAAAUAAAGAGCCUGUACCUGAGGAACCCCAGGAUAGGGAGUGGGCUCUGCAGCAGUGGAAAUGGGGAUCACUAGUGGAUUGAUCAGGGUCUCCAGUUCUCUCUCCGAUGUUAACAAUCAGAUAGGGUCUGCCUGGAUAGAUCUCCAUAUUUAACACCUCCGGAAGCAACUCUUUAUAAAAUCAAAAGACCAUUUGAUGAAUAAAAAACACAGGUUGCCAGCAAUAAGGCUAACCAGAGGGUCUACAAAAGAUCUAAAAAUCCCACCAAAAUCUUAAAAUCUCUCAUUUAAAUAAAUGGAUGCAUCUGAAAAAUGCAGCUGGAAUUUCUCUGAUGCCAGGAGCAAAGCAGCACAGAAGUCCAUGGAGGGCAGGGAGUAAACACUGAAGUUGCUCCACAGCGACCCACAGCCUCUGCCCUCACAGAGUGGUACUGCCCCACAGCAGUACCAGCAGACCUCAGAGAUACUGUAGGUUCAGUUCCAGAUUGCCUCAAUAAACCAAAUAUCACAAUACAACAAGUCACAAAAAAAUUAUUUU